CCUACGGAGGGCAGCAGUCGAGAAUUUUUCACAAUGGGGGAAACCCUGAUGCUGCGACGCCGCGUGAGGGAAGAAAGGUCUACGGAUUGUAAACUCCUGUCAUGAGGGAGCAAAUUAAAAAGAUAGUACCACAAUAGGCAGCGACUGCUAACUCGGCGCCAGCAGCCGCGGUACUACAGAGGUCUCAAGCGUUGUACGGAAUCAGUGGGGGUAACGCGUGCGGAGGUUGGUUCGUAAGUCGUGUGUGAAAGGGGCGGGCUCAACCCGAGGUCGGCACAUGAUACUGAGAUACUGGUGUAAAGGAGAGGGAAGCGGAAGUCUCGGUGUAGCAGUGAAAUGCGUAGAUAUCGGGAGGAACACUCGUGGCGAAGGCGGGUUCCUGGACAUUAACUGACGCUGAGGCACGAAAGCGAGGGGAGCGAAAGGGAUUAGAUACACCUGUAGUC
rnacentral:rRNA from 1 species